rnacentral:rRNA from 1 species
CAGUCGCCACGGUAAUACGUAGGGUGCAAGCGUUAAUCGGGAUCACUGGGCGUAAAGCGUGCGCAGGCGGUUCGUUAAGACAGAUGUGAAAUCCCCGGGCUUAACCUGGGAACUGCAUUUGUGACUGGCGGGCUAGAGUAUGGCAGAGGGGGGUAGAAUUCCACGUGUAGCAGUGAAAUGCGUAGAGAUGUGGAGGAAUACCGAUGGCGAAGGCAGCCCCCUGGGCCAAUACUGACGCUCAUGCACGAAAGCGUGGGGAGCAAACAGGAUUAGAUACCCCCGUAGUCCCUGUCUCUUAUAC